rnacentral:misc_RNA from 1 species
GAUGAAGAACGUAGCGAAAUGCGAUAAGUAAUGUGAAUUGCAGAAUUCAGUGAAUCAUCGAAUCUUUGAACGCACAUUGCGCCCGUCAGUAUUCUGGCGGGCAUGCCUGUUCGAGCGUCAUUACGCCCCUCAAGUCCCCUGUGGACUUGGUGUUGGGGAUCGGCGAGGCUGGUUUUCCAGCACAACCGUCCCUUAAAUUAAUUGGCGGUCUCGCCGUGGCCCUCCUCUGCGCAGUAGUAAAACACUCGCAACAGGAGCCCGGCGCGGUCCACUGCCGUAAAACCCCCCAACUUUUUAUAGUUGACCUCGAAUCAGGUAGGACUACCCGCUGAACUUAAGCAUAUCAAUAAGCGGAGGA